GGUAGUAAUAUUUAGGAACAUACCCAUAGUCUCGGAUAACCAUUGGGAAACGAUGAUUAAUACGAGAUGGUCCGGUAACGGUAAAGAUUUAUCGCUAUGGGAAUGGCCUGAACAGUAUCAGCUAGUUGGUAAGGUAAUGGCUUACCAAGGCUAUGACGCUUAGGGGAGGUGAGAGCCUGACCCCCCACCGAUGGGACUGAGACACGGCCCAUACACCUACGGGUGGCUGCAGUCAAGAACCUUCCACAAUGGACGAAAGUCUGAUGGAGCGACGCCGCGUGAUGGAUGAAGUACUUCGGUAUGUAAACAUCUUUUAUGAGGGAAAAAGUUUAUUGAUGGUACCUCAUGAAUAAGGACCUGCUAAACUCGUG
rnacentral:rRNA from 1 species